rnacentral:rRNA from 1 species
AAGACCUUGCACUUUUGGAGCGGCCGAUGUCUGAUUAGCUAGUUGGUGGGGUAAUGGCCUACCAAAGCGUCGAUCAGUAGCUGGUCUGAGAGGACGGCCAGCCACACUGGGACUGAGACACGGCCCAGACUCCUACGGGAGGCAGCAGUGGGGAAUUUUGGACAAUGGGCGCAAGCCUGAUCCAGCCAUGCCGCGUGAGUGAAGAAGGCCUUCGGGUUGUAAAGCUCUUUCAGCCGGGAAGAAAAGGUUGCGAUUAAUAAUCGCAAUUUAUGACGGUACCGGAAGAAGAAGCACCGGCUAACUACGUGCCAGCAGCCGCGGUAAUACGUAGGGUGCGAGCGUUAAUCGGAAUUACUGGGCGUAAAGGGUGCGCAGGCGGUUCUGUAAGUCAGAUGUGAAAUCCCCGGGCUUAACCUGGGAACU